UCCCCGGUAGCUCAGUCGGUAGAGCAGCUGGCUGUUAACCAGCGGGUCGGCGGUUCGAGCCCGUCCCGGGGAGCCA
rnacentral:tRNA from 2 species